rnacentral:lncRNA from 1 species
GGGGGCGGUGCUCGGCGCGGAGCCGCCGCCCGGGCGGGGCGGGACGGGACACCCCCCCCUCCCACCUCCAUCACCUUGCCGCCGUGCGCGCCUUCCGCAACACGAACCCCUCUCCCGCCCUCCGUUCCCCGCCCCGGGAGGGCGAGCCGGGGACGAGGCCCCCCCUUCCCCCCACGCUGCAAAGGGCAGGGGAAGGUUAACGGCGAACUUGGCCCCGUUCCCCCCCUCCGGGGAGGGAUGGGGAUCGACCCGCCUCGCCGCUUCCCGGCUCCGGGAGAGACGGAGACAGCGGGGACCGAGCCGCGGCCCCGGAACGGACGCGGGGGUGGGAGGGGGGGGGUUGCGGGAGCGGGAAACAGAAGUGAAAUCGAAAUCUGCCAGAAACGGCGUUUUGUUGGUUGGGGUUUUUAUUGUGUUUUUUUUUAAUAAACCCUCCUCGCCGACGGGGUUUUUCCCCCCCACACACCUCCAGCCCCGCUUCCCCCGGGAGCGGCACGACCCGGUGCCGGCCGGGGCGCGGGGUGAGGAGGCCGCCGGGCACGGCCGCCCCAUCCAUCCCACGCACCCGGGUCGGGUCCGUCCCCCCCACUCCUCCUCCCACCGCAACUUUCCCAGUAGCGGCGGGAGGACCCAGCCGCGGCCCCCGGGCUCGACGGGGCGGAUGGCGGCCCGGGUGCCCGGCGCCCCCGGGGGAGGCUCCGCCACAGUUCGCAGACAAAGGCGGGCGCCGGGAGCGGCGAUAGGGGACUCCCGGGAGAGCCUCGAUGAACCCGACCGGUUCCCCCAUCACCCCCCCGCCACCGACUCGCAAAGUUAUCCCGCUGCGAGGUGAUCGGCCCGGAGCACCCCAGCCCCGCCGGAACCGGGGCAAGCGCCGUCGUGGGGGGGCUGCAAGUCCGAAAAUAGCAACUCCCUUCACCGCCUCCGGGGGCGACUCCGAAAAAGCCCCCCCUCCCCUUCCGGGGGGGGCAACUCCGAAAUAGCACCUACUCCCCCCCCCACCGGGGAUAACACCGACACAGCAAUUCACCCCCUAUCACCGGGUGCAACUCCGAAAUACCGACCGCUCUCCCCGCUCCCAAGCGCCGUCGUGGGGGGGCUGCAAGUCCGAAAAUAGCAACUCCCUUCACCGCCUCCGGGGGCGACUCCGAAAAAGCCCCCC